rnacentral:rRNA from 1 species
UACGUAGGGGGCAAGCGUUGUCCGGAUUCAUUGGGCGUAAAGAGCGUGUAGGCGGCCUGGAAGGUCAGCUGUGAAAACUCGAGGCUCAACCUCGAGACGUCGGUUGAAACCACCUGGCUAGAGUCCGGAAGAGGAGUGUGGAAUUCCCGGUGUAGCGGUGGAAUGCGUAGAUAUCAGGAGGAACAUCGAUGGCGAAGGCAGCCCCUUGGACCUGUACUGACGCUCAUGCACGAAAGCGUGGGGAGCAAACAGG